ensembl:lncRNA
CACACAAACACACACACACACACACACACACACACACACAUAAAAACUGCUUUUGGGAAUACAGGACCCAUUCCUGCCAUUUGCUCCAAAAUCAGACAUCAGAAGACUAUAGAGAACGGUUCAGACUGCUGAAAGGAUUAUUGGUGCUCCCCUGCCCACCCUCCAAGAACUGUAUACAUCCAGAGUGAGGAAAAGGGCUCUGGAUCCCUCACAUUCAAGCCAAUCUCCUUUUUGAACUUUUGCCAUCUGGUCAACGCUACAGAGCACUGAAUACCAGGAAAGUCAGGCACAAGAACAGUUUCUUUCCCCAGGCAAUCUACCUCAUGAACAGUUAAAUGUUCUCCCAUUGUGCAAUAAAAGAGCUGGCUCAAGCCCUGCUGUGUUACGCUCAUUUAAAGAGCACAGUGACCCUGGAACUCACAUGGAACAUGGCCCCAUUCAGUGUAAUACAAAACACCCCAACACAAUAUGGUCACCAGAAGAAAAAACAAACCACUGCCUGAACCAACUAUAUAAACAGCCAAUGCUUCAUCAGUAACUGAAAAUCUUCCAGGAAGCUUUUCCUGGAAAAGGAGACCUUGUCCAUGGUUCUCCAGGGGAUGUUGCCCUAAUUUUGGAUGAAAAUAGUGAUCAUUAUCCAGAGACAUCAGAUGCAUGGCAAAAAUCAGUCUGAGCCCUGGGCUGAAUUAAUCCAAAACAAAGCUUUCUUUGGCUUGUAUAAUAAUUUUGUUACUGAAGUUUUGUUUACAUUGUUCACGAGCAGCUGAAGGUUGUCAACUGAUGUGGUGAGAAUGAGAGAGCGUUUUGACCUAGAUUGUGGCGUGCAGUGAACGUUGUGUUGAGAAGCCAAGGACUUUGAAAUCUUUGAGUACAUGGAGUCUGUAGAAAAAUGAUGUCAGAAGGAUUUAUGAUCCCAAGAACAUGCUGUCCCAGGAAAGCAGUUUUUUCCACACAUCUCUCUCUCUUUCUCUCUCUCUCUCUUCCUUUCUUUCUCUGUGUUUGAGAUGAGCAGGGAGCUGAAUCAAGUCUUUGUCCUUAGCCUAAGACACUGAAGAGGAUUAUCUAUAUGAAGGAGGGUUGCAUCAUAAGGUCCAUCAUGUUGAUGUCGCAUCACCAACCGAAUGCUAUGCUUUAUCCUGGUAGCCCCUCUAAUUUGUGAACAGUGUUAUAAAGUAAAACAAAGCUCUUUUCAUCAGAAAGAUACAACAGCAAAAUAAGAUGAUUACAAUAUAUUCAGUUUCAAGGUCACCCAAGCACCUGAUCUCACCCACUGUCCUGUUAGUGUCUGCUCUUGAACACAUUGCACAGUAGUUUAUUAACAAAAAGUUUAUAUCUACAGGCAAACAAAAAUCAUUCACUUUUACUGAGAAUAUUACAAUAUUCAGUAGUAGCUGACUGGGUUUAAAUGUACAGGUGUCCGUUUCAGGUAAUAACUGUAGUUUGUUUUAGCUAACGGUCAAUUAUAAGCACUUUGAUGCAGUUUCAUGUAUAUAAUUUGAGGAGAACUACUGUAUAUCUAAAACUAUGAUCUGUGACAUAAAAUUAAAUGCUGCCAAAAUGUCCUAAAGUCAACACUUGCUUUGCCAAUAAAGUGUCGUAAUCCUUAUGGGGUUAUGUAAGAUGCAGUCAUUCAGGUGUAUGUCCUAGACAUUCUCAACCUGAAUGAUAGUGUUACCAAUGUUACUGUAAAACAAGACAAGGCUUAUUGAAGUCAACAUAAUGUUUUCCUUCUGACUCAGUUAUUGUGUUACAUAUGAAUAGGUACACUUAUUUUUCAAAGCACUUGGAAGAAAUAAAUGGCUGGUUGUUUUAAUAUUGUGUGUGUAAAGCUCACCUGCAGAACUUUAGCAACAUUAUCAACCCGCAGCAAUAUUAUCUGGCAGAUUGUGGUUGAGAGGAGUGGUUUAAGUUAGGAAUAUCUUGCCUGUGGGUUCUUCUUUCCCAUUCAGGUCCUUCAAGAAGAAAGAAGAUUUGCAUAAUGGCUGUUUUGUCAUUUCUGCAAUAUGUAAAUAUGUUUUUCAAUAAAAUGGUUUGUCCC